rnacentral:misc_RNA from 1 species
AAGGAAAAAAAUCAUCUUCAGUUUUGAAAGACUUAGAUUAUAUAAGUUUUUCUUUUAGGUAAAUUUUUACCUUUUAAAGUUCUUUGAAAAGUAGAUAA